AGCUUGAUGAUGAUUGUCUCCUGUGAUUGCUUACUGAAAGCAAAGUGAUCAGUCAUUUCACCGACACUGAAAGCA
rnacentral:snoRNA from 1 species